rnacentral:lncRNA from 1 species
AGGCAUCCAAUCAGGCACUGAGUCAUCUAGGACUAUAUAUUCGAGCCGCCCGUGACCCUCCUUGCUCCAUAAAACCAUUGUCGUGAGCACCAUUCGAUGCGACGAGGGGAGCGGUGGAAAAUAGAGCUUCGUCGGCGGGCUUCUGGUUUAUCGAUUUGAUCUCUGGUUCAUCAUCAAUCUAAAAAAAUCAUGAUAUCCAGUAGCAGCGUGGGAUUAAAGGGCUUGGUUGGAAGGUAAGUUGCUGGUAAGUUAGGGGUAUCCCAUAUGAUAGGUUUGACGCUUCUUGCCUAAUAGAUAACCACCUCCAUAAGCCCUUUUACAUGCAGUACUGUCUUGUAGCACAAAUUUAAUAGUAGGUACAAUCAUGAUAAGUUGACAACCGCUAGGUCAUGUAUUUAUAAACAAAUCUUUCCCACCGUCAUGUCACAUAUUUUUAUGCAGCCCUACUAAUUUAUUAAAAAUGUGAUAUCUUCUAGGUCAAAUAAUUUGUUUUAAUCUGUUCAAGUUGUGUUAGGUUCAUAUUAAUUUUUGCGUACAUAGUAAUAACAUUGUUUUAAUUAUGCCACAUUGUUUUAAUUAUGCCACAUGUUUUAAUUAAUUACUUAAUGUUAAUUAGCUUGAUAAUCUAGUUAAUCUAAUUUAUAGUUCUAACCUACGCAUUUUAUAAAUAAUUGUUAAUAUUAAUACCAAAUCAAAUAUUUUAAUUUAAUACCUGCUUAGUUUAAAUGCAAUAUCUAUUAGAUCCCAUCUAUUAGAUUUAUUACGCCUAAAAUAUCGUUUAUUCAUAAAUUCUUCGUUUUAGCUCCAAUUUUAAUGGUUCUUGAACCUACGAUCUUAUAGCGACGCGUAGGAUUUUCUUACAUUGUUUGUUCAUAUGCUUUGGUGUAAUGUUACCGUACCCAAUAUUUGCUUGAUUGUAUGUAUUGCUAUGCAUAGAAGCGAGGUGACGAAAAAUCUAAAGACCAACUUGGUGAAAUACCUGGAAUCUCAAGUAUAAGGCAAGUUGUGCCCUUGAUCACUCCUUUUUACCUAAUAAUGUUCGUUGUUAAUCACUGUGACAUGCAUCAGGUUAAUUUGAUGGGACCUAAUAGGUUUCCCUAGCAUUGUUUAUUCCCCACCUUGCAAGUAGAUGAAUUAUUGGGUAGUUUUGCUAUUGCUCUACUUGGUUUUGGGAAACUAAUGUUUCAUUAUGAUCAUGUUCCAAUUAUGUUGUUGUUUAAUUAUUGUUCAUGAUAAGAUCAUAUUGUUAAUUGUAACAUGGAACGACCACCCGGGAAAACAGUGCUACCACAAGGGUGGUAUGGGACACCCUUGGCUGACUAAUUAGGAAAGCUAGUGGAGGACUACCUUACCCGAAAGGGGCAAGGGCAGAAGGGGAGUGGUUGGUGUAGGGAGGUUCUCGGGCUGAUUUUGCUGUGAUGGCGGUCAGACGAGGGAUCCCUGCAUUGGGACUUCCUAAAACUGUAGCGGGUUUUCUGAAGCUAGUGGAACUUUGUAAAGGCCUCGUACUGGUACCCUGCCUCGCUUCCUUGGUAGAGGUCUAUGGGGUGUGAUCCACUCCGUGGCAAAUGGGUAACACGACUUGUGGGUAAAGAUGUGCAACCUCUGCAGAGUGUAAAACUGGUAUAUCAGCCGUGCUCACGAUCAUGAGCAGCUCGGACCCUCACAUGAUAAAUUUAUGGAACUAAACUCAAUUUGUCAUAUGCAUUGCAUCACGGGUGUUGUUAUUAAUCUUGAUCUCUUACUUAAUUGGUUUGGUAUCUACUUACACUUAGUAACUGCUAAUAAAAUUUUGACUAACUUUAAAAGCAAUGCUCAGCUUUAGCCAUCCUCUUUGGUAAGCCUUACACUUCACAUGAGCUCCCACCUUUGGCGAGUUCAUGCACAUUAUUCCCCACAAGUUGAGCGAUGAACGUAUGUGAGCUCACCCUUGUUGUCUCACACCCCCCACAGGUCAAGAACAGGUACCGCAGGAUGAGACGCAUGGAGGAUGCUGUGGUGAGUUCGUGAGAGGUCUAGGUCGUCGUCUCCCAGUCAACUUUGGGUUGUUGGAUCGUUAUCUCCUUAUGAUUUAAUUAUUUAUUUAUUUUGUAUAUAACUCCUAUUAUAUAGUAAAGAUGUG